rnacentral:rRNA from 1 species
UACGUAGGGUGCAAGCGUUGUCCGGAAUUAUUGGGCGUAAAGAGCUUGUAGGCGGUUUGUCGCGUCUGCUGUGAAAUUUCGGGGCUCAACCCCCGAACUUGCAGUGGGUACGGGCAGACUAGAGUGUGGUAGGGGAGACUGGAAUUCCUGGUGUAGCGGUGAAAAUGCGCAGAUAUCAGGAGGAACACCGAUGGCGAAGGCAGGUCUCUGGGCCAUAACUGACGCUGAGAAGCGAAAGCAUGGGAGCGAACAGG